rnacentral:rRNA from 1 species
UACGUAGGGUGCGAGCGUUGUCCGGAAUUAUUGGGCGUAAAGAGCUUGUAGGCGGUCUGUCGCGUCUGCUGUGAAAAUCCGGGGCUCAACCCCGGACUUGCAGUGGGUACGGGCAGACUAGAGUGUGGUAGGGGAGACUGGAAUUCCUGGUGUAGCGGUGAAAUGCGCAGAUAUCAGGAGGAACACCAAUGGCGAAGGCAGCACUCUGGGACGUGACUGACGCUGAGACGCGAAAGCGUGGGGAGCGAACAGG